GCAUAAAAUAAAAAUGACAAAAAUAUAGCAUGCAUAUUUAAAUUCCUGCAUCAUAAAUAGAAAAUUUAAAAAUAAGAGAAAAUUGAAAUCCUAUUUAAAUUAGACAACAUUAAAGCUUGCUCUUAAAGGUGAUCAAUUACUCUUUGGCUGAUUGCUAACCCAUUAACCAAUUUGAGUCUCGAGUUUUUGUUUCUCUUUGUGGAGAGUAUUUAUGCAAGAAUAACAUCAUAGCAAGGAGAGAGUCUAUCAGUGGCACCACCAGAUCUGCUACUGGUUAGCUCACUCUAAAGGACAUCUACACCAAGUAUCACAACCAUCCAGCUUGGGGGAGGAGCAUACCCUAGCUAUCAGGUGACUACACCUAGGCGAUUAUUAAAUUUACUUGUUAUAUAUAUAUAUAUAUUCAUAAAACACCAAAAAUAUAUGGGCACAUGAAGGUCCACGUCUGUUGAGUCAUUUAUGAGUCUGUGGUUAAAUAAAAUCUAAAAACCAAUAAAAAGAAGUCUUAGUUAGUAUUAACUGUAUUAUAGUGUGUCUAGGCUAGAGUUAAUAAAAAAACUGAUGAACAUUACAAUUUUGUCUUGGAGGUGAUGAGUAGUUGCUUUGCUGUAAUUCCUUUCAAGUGCCUAGUUUUCAAUCUUAAGUUCUACCAAGUUUUGGACAUGACUGCUUUGAUAUAAGAAUUUACUCUGAGCCUAAAACUUGUGGAGGCAUAUGCUUAAGCUAAGUCUAGGUGAUUGGUUGAUAUGAUUCAUGAAGGUUCAGUUGCUAUUUGUCUCAUUCCUAGCAUUAUUAAGUUUUGGAGAUUUAUUUUGAAAACCCAAAAUCCUACAUGAUGAGCUCUUGUAUGACAAAGUUUGAAUUCCUACCAAAGCUUUUGCACAUUUAUACUGCUUGCUUUGCAUUGAGUUGAGUCAACCUUUGUCGUAUACCUUAUGAGAGUCUUGUCAUGCUUUUAAAAUCAAGAUCACACGCACACUCUAUCUACAUAUGCAUUAGUCCUACUCUCGGAGUAAGCGCAACCAUUUUCCACUUUCAUCCAGAUCCACCUUAAAAUUGUUUUUCUCCUACACUAGGAGUCAAACACCCAAAUAUAUAUAUAUAAACCCAUAGGACAACCUUUGUUUAAUUGCUCAAAGUACUUAUUGCUAUCUCUCCAAUUAUCAUAUUAUAUUCAAAGGAUGCAUGUGGCUAUGCAAAAGGAAAGUUAUUGAAAAAAAGAAGAGGGAGUAAAAGAAGGACAAGUGUCCUAGCAAUUAAAAUAAUGGGUACUUAGAUGCCCGCCUUCCUAAAAGUAAAAGAAAAAAAAGGAAAAAAGAAAGAGAAGAGAGAAAAGAAAACGAAUAAAGAUAGCCCAUGUUUUCCCAUGAAAAGAGAGAUCAAAAGUAGAAUUAUAAUUAGUCACUAAAUACCUUAUAUACACCUAUCCACCAUAUUUCAUACACACACACAUCUUGAUUUGAUUGUAUGCUUUGACUCUCUGUGGAUCCAUUGUUUGGCUUUACAAUAGAUGAAUUACAAGUAUGCUCAUCCUUGUUAUUACCACUCUUAUAAGCUCCACUAUAAUCAUUAGUUAUAGGAGGGCAGGACAACACACCUCAGUGAGAUCUAUAAAUACCACAUAUUAAAGAGACUUGAGGGUGUCAUGCAAUUAAGCUCUGAGUUUUAUUGUGAAAACUUAUAAAAACUCUAGAAUAUUGGUACUGUGAAGAAUUUGAGACAUAUUAAAUACCACAUAUUAAAGAGACUUGAGGGUGUCAUGCAAUUAAGCUCUGAGUUUUAUUGUGAAAACUUAUAAAAACUCUAGAAUAUUGGUACUGUGAAGAAUUUGAGACAUAGUGUUUGACUUGAUUGUUCUGUCUUUUGAUUACUCAAGACUUAUGCAAGAGCUGUAAAGCUCCAUAGUUCAGGGUAAAAUAGGUAAGUUUGACGGUUAGAGCAGUUAAUGACUAAAUCCAGAGGAGAAUCUCUAUUUGAAUACAUGUGUACCUUUGAGGAAUGACAGCAUUGUAGCAACUCCUGAUCCAGAUAUACUAGUAAUUAGGCUUAGUCCGUUUGCCAAGGGACUGGC
rnacentral:lncRNA from 1 species